rnacentral:rRNA from 1 species
UACGUAGGGUGCGAGCGUUGUCCGGAAUUAUUGGGCGUAAAGAGCUCGUAGGCGGCUUGUCGCGUCGGAUGUGAAAGCCCGGGGCUUAACUCCGGGUCUGCAUUCGAUACGGGCAGGCUAGAGUUCGGUAGGGGAGAUCGGAAUUCCUGGUGUAGCGGUGAAAUGCGCAGAUAUCAGGAGGAACACCGGUGGCGAAGGCGGAUCUCUGGGCCGAUACUGACGCUGAGGAGCGAAAGCCAGGGGAGCAAACGGG